AGGCCUAUAAUACGAAUGUUGUUUAUUUAUUUAUUUGUUAAUGUUUUUACUUUCAGAUGCUUCCGAAAAAAUUCAGUAGCAUACCCAACAUGUUUGAACAUGAUACAAUUGAUCUUUCUCUAAGCCUGUUUUUGUUUUUGUUUGUUCUUCUUCUAAUGUUUACGUAAUCAAGGAAACGUUUGGAACUUUCAUUCAAAGAUCGCGUUUAAUAUGCGAACUUAGUAACGUUAGCAAAACGUUCUUGUAACAUAUUUUUCUUAGAGCCUGACUGACAUUGUGCUCCAGAUUUAUUGACAGAGACAUUAUUUGCGAUUAUUGAAGAGAAGAAUCUCCUCGUUCUUCUUCUGCAGGUGAGCAGGUGAGCUGACGUCGAUCAGCAGAAGCGCUUGUUUGAUGGGGAAGUGAAACUAUCUUCUCGACGUGGAAGCGUCGCCAUUAACGAGGAACUUGCACGAACAGACGGGCUCAGACGGAAUAUGAUAUAUUUAAGCAUUCUCCGGUUGAGAUUGUUUAGCUGUGUUCACAGAGCAGUAGUUGAGUAGAUCAGACCCUCGGUGCGGAGAUGGACGAGUCUAUGAGGAUCGGGUUUGAAGUGAUCCGGGAUGACUGUCUGCUGGACUGGAAGAGCAUCGGAACCGGCGGGUUUGGACAGAUCUACCGAGCGAAGCACAAGACCUGGGGAAUGGACGUGGCCAUAAAGUUAUUACAUUAUAAAGACGGAAGGUCUGCAUCCUCCAUCCAGAGAGAAGCUAACCUGAUGUUCAAGGGCGGGAAUCCCAAUGUGAUCAGGAUUUUGGGGCUGUAUGAGGGCCGCAUGGGCGGCGCGUGUCUCCAGUCGGGGCUGGUGAUGGAGUUCAUGCCCAAGGGUUCGGUGGCCGAUCUGCUGCAGACGCUAGCCGGGCCGCCACCUUGGCCUCUGACCUUCCGCAUGGCGCACGAGAUCAGCCUGGGCAUGAACUUCCUCCAUCAUCUGUCUGUCCUGCAUCUGGACCUCAAGCCCAGCAAUGUGCUUCUGGACGACAGUCUCAGAGCCAAACUCACAGAUUUUGGUCUUUCGCGAGUGGCUCGAAGCGUUUCUAGAUGCUCCAGGGACAAAGACGAGGAUGAUGGAGGAACAUUGAGCUACAUGCCUCCUGAAGCACUGCAGUCCAUCAACUACAAAGCCAGCAAAGCCACUGACGUCUACAGUUACGGCGUUCUGCUGUGGUCCCUCGUCACCGGGAAGGAGCCGUAUGAAGGCGCUCUGUCCAGUCUGGUGCGCUUCCGGAUCCCUCAGGGGGACAGACCGGACCUGGAAUCCAUAGACCACCAUGGGGUUAAAGGUCUGGAAGAUAUGGUGAAGCUCAUGACUGAAUGCUGGCAUCAGGAUCCCAGCAGGAGACCGUUGUUCCUCGAUUGUGUUCAUGCGACUGAGAAGAUCUGUGAUAUGCACAAACAUGGACUCAAUGAUGCCGUCUAUUAUGUUCUGAAGCAGCUGGAUGAUGAGAUUUGUUCCGGUUUGAAAUCAAUCCAGAUCAGCCGUAAACCACAAAAUGAAGCACGGCCUCAGGUUUCGUCCUGCGUCACUGGACCGCUUCCUAAACAGGAAACAGCUGCCAGUUACACAAAAUCCAAAAAGAAAGCUAUUCUGAGAUCCAGAGAUGAGCCUCGUCCUGCUCCGGCUAUCAGAACAACACAGCGUCAGACUUCAACACCAGGGUCUCAUGUUCAGAUGUCGUUUUCCAACGUCUUCGGAGUUCAGAUCGGCAACCACAACUUCAUGAAUAUUGAGAAAACGCGGCAGAGACACCGAACAGCUCCUUCCAGCGUCGGCACGUCUUGCUCGAACUCAGAGAACUCACAGAAAAAACCUCAGUGACAUCUCCACACAGGAAUCAGCUCUCAAGAGUUCAGAGUGUUUUAGUGGCUUUUUAAGUGACCGGACUAUACGUCAAAGUCGAAGGGAAAUUUAAUGCGGCUGAAUGCUUUAAAAAAAUAAUCAGGCUUAAAUAUAAAAUUUGUGUAUUUGAACUGCAUAUAAAAUGUCCAUGCAUUUGGAUUACACCGUAUAACAUUAACUAACCAAUAAACUUAAUGAGAUGCAUAUUUGUUGGUCAUGCAUAAUGCCAGAUUGGUAAUAAACUAUGCAAUGUUUUUGUAACUUGAAAUAAACCUAUUUUAGUUAGUGUUUUAUAUAUAUAUAUAUAUAUAUAUAAAGUGUUUGUAUAAAUUGUAUAUUUUUAUAUGCAUUUAAUUUUUUUUAAAUGCAUUUUAUUUUCUGCAUAAUCCAAAUGAAUAGAAAUUUUAUAUGCAAUUCAAAUACGCAAGUGAAACCGGUGAGGAACAUUUCCAACUCAAUUUUUACCUCAAAAGAAAGAAAUAAACGUGUUUUGCAUCCAGAAAAUCUAUAUUUAGAACCACUAUUUUUUUUUUUUUUGCAUUGUGACAUUAUCAGGACAAUUAGAUAUUUAGAUCUCCGUCAUCCAGUUGCCAGUAGAUGUAAAACAAUAAAAUAAUACAAUAAAUAGGUUUCAUAACUUCAAUGUGAAAAAUAUUUACAUUUUGAUAUACACAUGGCAGUGGUUUUUGUACUGAAUUUUAUUAAUGCUGAUUUUCACGACUGUGUUACAUUUGCAUUAUAUUAAUGAAAGCAAUAGGAAAAAUGUGCUUAAUUGUCACAAUGCAAAAACAAACAACUAAAUAAAUGAUUUGAUUCUGGAGUGAAAUUCACAUGCGAUUCUGAAUAUAUCUGUGAUUCAGGUCAGGUGAGCACUGUGGUAGCGACAAUCAUCUACUGUAACUACAUAUCAAUCAUCUACUGUAACUACAUAUCAAUCAUCUACUGUAACUACAUAUCAAUCAUCUACUGUAACUAGCUACAAACGUUUUACGAUCAGAUGGCGGAGGAUGCAUCGCGCUAAUCAGCAGUGACAGCUCGUGCCGCUCGGUCAGCGGGAUCCUGGCGUUCAGCUCGCUCCCGAUCCCAGCUCUCCAUCUGUCUCACCGGAAUAACGGGCACGAUCCGCUCGUGUCGCAUCUCUCCCGGUGAUCUGGACAAAACGCAGUGGAAUGAGUGGGUGGAUGCAGAAAUAACUGACCGUAGUUCCCUUCAAACCUACCGUCAGCAGUAGUACAUGCAGAAGAGCAGUUCUGUUGUGCUUGUUAAGUGUAGACGCGAGCUAGUCAUUCAGACGCAGUCUCGCGGAACUACUUUACGUUUUGGCGAAAGUCGUGUGAAUUCGAUCUGCAACGGUUAUAGAUGGACCUUAAAGGGACAGUUCACCCAAAAUGAAAAGUGUAAUAAUUUACUGACCCUCAAGUGUAGAUCCAAAUCUGUAUGAGUUUCUUUCUUCUGUUAAACACAACAGAAGAUAUUUUGAAAAAUGUCAGUAUCGGUUGACGGUAGCCAUUGACUUCCCCUUUUCACAUGACUGUGAUGAGGCAUGGUCAUCAGCAUCAUAAAUCCUUGAACAUUUUUGUAUAUUUUUUAUUUAAAAAAAAAAAAAAAACGCCCAUACAUUUAUAACAGUGUUAUAUCACCUUUGCCGUUAUAAGUCUCUCUCAUUUUUUCUCUCUUUUGAUUAAAAGUCGUGUAAAAACUAUCGUGGAGUUGUGCUUUUGCUAUUUGAGCAAAUGAGAAUGCAAGAAAUAUAUUUGUGGUACCUCCCAUUCACCGCUCUCGAAGUCAAGUCAA